UACGGAGGGUGCAAGCGUUAUCCGGAUUCAUUGGGUUUAAAGGGUGCGCAGGCGGACUUUUAAGUCAGUGGUGAAAUCCCGGGGCUCAACCCCGGAACUGCCAUUGAUACUGGAAGUCUUGAAUUUGGUUGAAGUGGGCGGAAUGUAGCAUGUAGCGGUGAAAUGCUUAGAUAUGCUACAGAACACCGAUCGCGAAGGCAGCUCACUAAGCCAAUAUUGACGCUCAGGCACGAAAGCGUGGGGAGCGAACAGG
rnacentral:rRNA from 1 species